rnacentral:rRNA from 1 species
UACGGAGGGUGCGAGCGUUGUCCGGAAUCAUUGGGCGUAAAGGGCGCGUAGGUGGCCCGGUCAGCGUGCGGUGAAAGCUCGGGGCUCAACCCCGAGUCGGCCGUGCGAACUGCUGGGCUCGAGCACUGUAGAGGCAGGCGGAAUUCCGGGUGUAGCGGUGGAAUGCGUAGAGAUCCGGAAGAACGACCGGUGGCGAAGGCGGCUUCCUGGCCCGUACCUGACGCUGAGGCGCGAAAGCGUGGGGAGCAAACAGG